GAAGUAAGAUCCCUGAAAGAUGAUCAGGUUGAUAGGUCUGAGGUGGAAGCGUGGUGACACGUGGAGCUGACAGAUACUAAUAGAUCGAGGACUUAACCUAUAUU
rnacentral:rRNA from 2 species